rnacentral:rRNA from 1 species
GAUGAACGCUGGCGGUAUGCCUAACACAUGCAAGUCGUACGAGAGUUUUUAACUCUAGUGGCGGACGGGUGAGUAACACGUGAGAAUUUGCCUUUAGGAGGGGGACGACAAUUGGAAACGAAUGCUAAUACCCCAUAUGCUUUCGAGUGAAAUGGAUUUUAUCCGCCUAGAAAGAAGCUCGCGGCUGAUUAGCUUGUUGGUAAGGUAAGAGCUUACCAAGGCGACGAUCAGUAUCUGGUUUGAGAGGACGAUCAGACACACUGGAACUGAGACACGGUCCAGACUCCUACGGGAGGCAGCAGUGGGGAAUUUUCCGCAAUGGGCGAAAGCCUGACGGAGCAAUACCGCGUGAGGGAAGAAUGCCUAUGGGUUGUAAACCUCUUUUUUCAGGGAGGAAUAAAAUGACGUGUACCUGAAGAAUAAGCAUCGGCUAACUCCGUG